AUGUUAUUCACAAUAGAACAUAGAAACAUAUCAAAUGUUUAAACUGAGUAAAUGUUCCAUUUUAAGAAAAAAAUUAAGUAAUUUUGAAUUUGAUGGCCAUAACCCAUCUCAAAAAAGCUGGGAUGGGGCAACAAAAGGUUAGUAAAAGAAAGUGUUACUAAAAAUAAACACCUGGAGGGACAUUUUGUAACUAAUUAGGUUAAUUGGCAACAGGUCAGUAACAUGACUGGGUAUAAAAGAUCUUAGAGAGGCAGAGUCUCUCAGAAGUAAAGAUGGGAUGGAAUCUGAAUGGAAGCAUAUGUUGCUCCAAAACCUGUAUAUACCUUUCAGUAUUGAUAGUGCCUUUCCAGAUGUGCAAGCUGCCUAUACCAUAGGCACUAAUGCACCACAAAACCAUCAGACAUGCAGGCUUUUGAACUGAGCGCCGAUAAAAUGGUCCCUCGCCUCUUUAGUCCUCUUUAGUUUAGAGGACGUGGCUUCCAUGGUUUCCAAAAAGUGUUUCAAAUUUCGAUUCAUCUGACCACAGAACAGUUUUCCACUUUGCCUCAGUCCAUUUUAAAUUAGCUUUGGCCCAGAGAAGACUGCAGGGUGCAUGUUCACAUAUGGCUUCUUCUUUGCAUGAUAGAGCUUUAACCAGCAUUUGUGGAUGGACAGAACUGUGCUCACAGACAAUGAGUUCUGGAGGUGUUUCUAAGCCCAUGCAGGAAUUUCCAUUACAGAAUCAUGCCUGUUUUUAAUGCAGUACCGCCUGAGGGCCCGAAGAUCACGGGCAUGCAAUACUGAUUUUCACCCGUGUCCUUUGCACACAGAGAUUUCUCCAGAUUCUCAGAAUAUUAUGUACUGUAGAUGAUGAGAUAUUCAUAGUCUUCACAAUUUUACAUUGAGGAACAUUAUUAUGAAAUUGUUCCACAAAUUGUAGAUGCAGUGUUUUCACAGAUUUGUGAACUUCUGCCCAUCUUUACUUCUGAGAGACUCUGCCUCUCUAAGAUACUCUUUUUAUACCCAAUCAUGUAACUGACCUGAGCUGUUUCUUUUUAGUCACACUUACUUUUCAAGUUUAAACAUUUGAUAUGUUUUCUGUGUUCUAUUGUGAAUAAAAUAUGGGUUUAUGAUAUUUGCAGAUCAUUAAAUUCUGUUUUCAUUUACAUUUUACACAGCAUCCCAACUUUUUUGGAAUUGGAAUUAUAAUAAUUGAAAAUUAUUGACAAAGGGUUGUUUAUCCCUGCUGAAAAAACAAUAGAAACCAUCACAGAAAUGCCAAUGGGUUCCACAGCAAAUGCCAUUAAAACCACUGCUAUUACCAUAUUGUUCCUUAAUGGUAUCCACUAGACAUAAUAUGCCACCAACAGAAGGCAACAAAUUACCUUCUUGGGGUGGCUGUGGUACCCCAGGUGGUAGAGCAGGUUGUCCACUAAUUGUAGUUUUGGCGGUUCAAUUCCCUGCCCAUGUGACUCCACAUACCAAAGUGUCCUUGGGCAAGACAGUGAAUCCCAAGUUGCUCCCGAUGUUAGCGCCUUGCAUGGCAGCUCUGCAACAAUUAGUGUGUGAGUGUGUGUGUGUGAAUAGGUGAAUGAGAUACAGUGAAAAGCACUUUGGAUAAAAGCACUAUAUAAGUGCAGACCAUUUACCAGUAGAGACCCACAGGGACCAUUACAGUUUCUAGUAAAUCCAAUACAAUUCCCAUUAUAACCAUUACAAAUUCUAUGAGUGUUUCUAUUUUUUUUUUUUCAGCUCAGAUGUCUCACAAGGAAAUAUAUUCUUUUGGUAAAUUUGUUUACACCAAGAAUAAAAGACAGGGACCAAGGAUAAGCAUUUAAAAUUCCUUAUAAACCUGUGUUUGGCAUGUCAGUCUGUGAUAUAUAUAUUUUGAAUAUGAAUAUGCAUUAUCUAGCUCUUUGUUUGGUGCAGCAGGGAUCUGUUUUUGAAAAAAAAAAUGAAACAAAAAAGUCUGCCAUCAAUCACAGAGUUUUCUCUGUCUCAUUGCACAUAGACUUCAACCAAUGAAUAUAUAAAUUUUUUUAUAAAACAUGGCUGGCAAUGUCAUUUUUAAAAACAAAAAAAAUGUGCCAGCUUGGUCCCUUGUAAUGUUGCUUAGAAUGGGAGAAUAUUUGCACCUACUGUGAAACUAUAGCAAGGUGUUUUUCUCUCACACUUACAUGUAAUGGGGAGCUGGCACAUCACAUGCUUUCCCCUGGUGUUCCUGGCAGCCGUGCCUUCUGGCCAUUCUCUCUGUGAACCCUCAGUUUGAAUAGAAAGAGAGGGGACAAGGAAGAAAUCCGGAGAGAAAGGGGCUUUUCCAGUGGUGUCACAGUGAGUCAUCCGACUAGAGUUUCUUCAUUUAAAAAUAAUGAAGCUUCUGAAAUACACCCAGCUUGACUAUGACCCUUCACAAAGGAUUAGUAUUCUGGAAGAAUGACAGGUUUUAAUGAACUUCAUCCAACCACUUCACAUCUACCUAAUAAAUCUACGCAAGGAUGCAAAACACAAAACCUCUGCUUUCAUCUUUAGGAGGUGCGGGAGGAUAAAAGUGACAUUUUGCAUUAUAUUCUCAGACUUGCUUUGAACUGAAAGCACAAAUGUUGCUGACAUCCAGUGUCCAGUUACCAUGAUGUUUAAGUCCUCACUUUUUUUUUUAUAAUCCCCCAAUUUUCACCUGCCAAUUCCCAACCACCAGCCAGCUCUCCCCAUCACACGACAGCUACCAACCAGGGAGAGUGAAUGCUUCCUCCAAGACUUCUCAUACUGCAUCACAAGGUGGCAUAACACAUUUGGAGGAAAGGGCUAUCUGCCCUCUUCUGCAUGAACUCACAGACACACACGAUUGACUAGUGUCACUGUGAUUGACAGGGGAGAGAGAAUUUGCCAUCUCGCCCACCUAAAGUGUACAGCCAGUUCAGGCUAUCUGCCAGUUCAGGCUAUCUGCCCUCUUCUGCAUGAACUCACAGACCCACACGAUUGACUAAUGUCACUGUGAGUGACAGGGGAGAGAGAGUUUGCCAUCUCCCCUACCUAAAGUGUACAGCCAGUUCAGUUCUCUAGGACUCCCGGCCACGGAUGACCAUGGCAUCGUUGGGAUUCCAACUUGCGAUCUCCAAAUUAGUGGUGUCGGCUGUAAUUCAAAUGAUUCACUGGGACUUGUAUGACAGAUGAGUCUAUGGCACUGAUCCUAAAUGAGGCAAAUCAUCAACACAACAUCUCCUGCAGGUGGAAUGAGUGAAUUUUUUCCUUGCCAAAACCAUAUAUAAACAAAGAAUCCAAGACUAAUUGAGUAUAAUUUGGUUACAAUUUACUUACACAGAUUUUUAAACAAAUGGAACUAUAACCAAACAUUUACCUGGGUUGAACACAACAAACUUAAUAAAAGUUGUAUCUUGGUUGAUACACUGGUGUAUUUUUAUUUUCCUGAGUAUAAAGCAAAGACACCCUCAAAGGUAUUGCAGUGGUCUUUAGGAUCCAAAUACGUAUCCUGUUGUAGAAAAAUAAGUAAUGCUAUAUUGCCAUUUAAACAACAGUUAGUUCUGGUCCACUAAUUUAAUUUGAUAAGUGACAUGACAAGACUGCUGAUAUUUAGAAUAACAGCACUGGUACAUGUCACUCUUUGUAUCACUCUGCUUAUUUAUGUUACUACAUAAAAUUUCAUUUCUAGUAAUAGUUCAUUACACUGAAACCAUUACUACACUUACUAUGGGCUCUCAGACAGUCUGCGUGCUGCAUGGCAACAUACAAUGCUCAAUCAAGCUGUGGCUUUUUUUG